rnacentral:lncRNA from 1 species
GCUGUUGCUAGCCCAGGCACUCCCAGCUCUGUCAUAAGGCCAUGGGCAUGAUGUCACCCCUGCCUCCCUCUGACCACCUGUACUAAUCCUUUGAGUCAGACUGGAUCCCACUCCCAGUCUACUUGAGGGCCAGGGAGCAAGAUCACAGGUGCUCAGAGAACUGUCACAGUCUGCACCUGAAGCUGCAGCGUCCCCUGUAUGAGUGAUGAACCUUUGGCAUAGGAGCGCCCCGGUUUCGAGAGCGGGAGUCGGUUUGGCAGCAUGGAGGACCCAGAUUCCUUUGGCUUUCCUGCUUCACCCAUGCUCUUAGCUCCAUCUCAGCGGCCAACACCAACCUCAAAUAAAAACAGAAUUCUGUAACUAAGGAGGAAGCACUCAGGCCAAAGAGAGGGCAACCUCAGGCUGCCUGUUGCAGCUGCCAUUCUGAGCACGGGACACCUUCAUGGCCCUUUUCACUGCUGGCUCUCUCUGAUCAGACCAUCCCACAGUAGCCUCAGAUAUCUUAUAGACCAUUUAUUAGAAAACUAUAGGGAAAAAAAUGUAAUCUACAAAAACAAGAGAAACCUCAAUAAGAAGCAAACCGUUCUUGGUUGGGACCUGGAGAUUCAACGCAGGAAAGAGAAGAGGCUGCUCAGGGGACGAUUCGGAGAAAGGAGCCAAGCCUGGGAAGGAGCACCACACAGGAAGGGGCUGUGCAUUUCAACUAGUUCUACCCCCAGCUGUUAA